rnacentral:rRNA from 1 species
GUGCCAGCAGCCGCGGUAAUACAGAGGUCUCAAGCGUUGUUCGGAAUCACUGGGCUUAAAGGGCGCGUAGGCGGCUCCGCCAGUCCGGGGUGAAAUCCAUCGGCUCAACCGGUGGACGGCCUGGGAUACUGCGGAGCUGGAGGGGGGUAGGGGCGACGGGAACGGCCAGUGGAGCGGUGAAAUGCGUUGAGAUUGGCAGGAACGCCGGUGGCGAAAGCGCGUCGCUGGACCCCACCUGACGCUGAGGCGCGAAAGCCAGGGGAGCAAACGGGAUUAGAUACCCCGGUAGUCC